rnacentral:rRNA from 1 species
GGUGAACGCUGGCGGCGUGCUUAACACAUGCAAGUCGAACGGUGAACGAGGGAGCUUGCUCCCUCCGGAUCAGUGGCGAACGGGUGAGUAACACGUGAGCAAUCUGCCCUGGACUCUGGGAUAAGCGUUGGAAACGACGUCUAAUACCGGAUACGAGGCGUGGGGGCAUCCCCAACGCCUGGAAAGAACUUCGGUCCAGGAUGAGCUCGCGGCCUAUCAGGUAGUUGGUGAGGUAACGGCUCACCAAGCCGACGACGGGUAGCCGGCCUGAGAGGGUGACCGGCCAAACUGGGACUGAGACACGGCCCAGACUCCUACGGGAGGCAGCAGUGGGGAAUAUUGCACAAUGGGCGCAAGCCUGAUGCAGCAACGCCGCGUGAGGGACGACGGCCUUCGGGUUGUAAACCUCUUUUAGCAGGGAAGAAGCGAAAGUGACGGUACCUGCAGAAAAAGCACCGGCUAACUACGUGCCAGCCGCCGCCGUAACAC